rnacentral:rRNA from 1 species
GUGAGGAAUAUUGCGCAAUGGAGGCAACUCUGACGCAGCCAUGCCGCGUGCAGGAAGAAGGCGCUACGCGUUGUAAACUGCUUUUAACCGGGAAGAAACCCCAGGACGUGUCCUGGGUUGACGGUACCGGAGGAAUAAGCACCGGCUAACUUCGUGCCAGCAGCCGCGGUAAUACGAAGGGUGCAAGCGUUAUCCGGAUUCAUUGGGUUUAAAGGGUGCGUAGGCGGAGCGUUAAGUCAGUGGUGAAAUCCUGCAGCUUAACUGUAGACUUGCCAUUGAUACUGGCGCUCUUGAGUGCGCUUGAAGUGGGCGGAAUGUGCCGUGUAGCGGUGAGAUGCUUAGAUAUGGCACAGAACACCAAUUGCGAAGGCAGCUCACUAAGGCGAUACUGACGCUGAGGCACGAAAGCGUGGGGAUCGAACAGGAUUAGAUACCCUAGUAGUCC